rnacentral:sRNA from 1 species
CUGAGUCUUCGCCGUUCCUCAGAGCGCCUCAGUGACACCCCUGGAUCCUUCCAGUCACCUUCCCUGGAAGUGAGGAUAACCCCUCCCACACAGAUGUGCUUGAACACACAUAGCACACACUCACCCUGUCCAAGGCAGGAGAUGGGGAGGAGGUGGGAGGGGCUGGGGAAGGGGCAUGGGCUCCAGAGUGCUGGCGGCCAGACAGGACCUACUUCCCGACUCUCCCUGCCCACAGAUUCUGCUGUCCAGCUGCUCCCUGUGCCGUGCCUGUGAUUCGCUGGUGUAUGAUGAGGAAAUCAUGGCUGGCUGGGCACCUGAUGACUCUAACCUCAACACAACCUGCCCCUUCUGCGCCUGCCCCUUUGUGCCCCUGCUCAGUGUCCAGACCCUUGAUUCCCGGCCCAGGUGCCCAAGGCAGGGCAAGUGCUGUGGGUGGGAAUAGGGAGGUGAAGGUCCAAAAGCUGACCCCUGCUGCUAUCCCCCUGCAGUGUCCCCAGCCCCAAGUCUGCUGGUGCCAGUGGCAGCAAAGAUGCUCCUGUCCCUGGUGGUCCUGGCCCUGUGCUCAGUGACCGCAGGCUCUGCCUUGCUCUGGAUGAGCCCCAGCUCUGCAACGGGCACAUGGGGGUAAGGGCUGGGCCAAAGGGGCAUGAGGAACGGGAAUGUUGCCCUGUUUGGGGCCUGUGGGGUGCCAGGGAGAGAUGGUCACAUCUCUUGCCCUUGAGGGCAAGGGGCAUCCCAGAAGCUGUUGGAUGUGGUGGCUCAGUGGGAGGCAAGGCUCUGGGGAUGUACAUGCCCUCUACUGCCCUCCCCCUUUGUGCCUGAUAGGGAGCCUCCCGGCGGGUUGAGAGUGGGGCAUGGGCAUACCUGAGCCCCCUGGUGCUGCGUAAGGAGCUGGAGUCGCUGGUAGAGAACGAGGGCAGUGAGGUGCUGGCGUUGCCUGAACUGCCCUCUGCCCACCCCAUCAUCUUCUGGAACCUUUUGUGGUAUUUCCAACGGCUACGCCUGCCCAGUAUUCUACCAGGCCUGGUGCUGGCCUCCUGUGAUGGGCCUUCGCACUCCCAGGCCCCAUCUCCUUGGCUAACCCCUGAUCCAGCCUCUGUUCAGGUACGGCUGCUGUGGGAUGUACUGACCCCUGACCCCAAUAGCUGCCCACCUCUCUAUGUGCUCUGGAGGGUCCACAGUGAGUCUGGUAUUUGGCCUGGGUGGGGAGGGUGGGUCCCAUACCCAGAGGGCUCAGUGAUUCUGGUGGCCUUCUUUCCUUUCAUCCAGGCCAGAUCCCCCAGCGGGUGGUAUGGCCAGGCCCUGUACCUGCAUCCCUUAGUUUGGCACUGUUGGAGUCAGUGCUGCGCCAUGUUGGACUCAAUGAAGUGCACAAGGCUGUGGGGCUCCUGCUGGAAACUCUAGGGCCCCCACCCACUGGCCUGCACCUGCAGAGGUAUGGUGCUACCAUCUGGGUGAUCCCUGGUCUGUCCGGGGCUCCACACCCCUUUUCUCUCGCUCAUACACUUCUGCCUCCACUAAAGGGGAAUCUACCGUGAGAUAUUAUUCCUGACAAUGGCUGCUCUGGGCAAGGACCACGUGGACAUAGUGGCCUUCGAUAAGAAGUACAAGUCUGCCUUUAACAAGCUGGCCAGCAGCAUGGGCAAGGAGGAGCUGAGGCACCGGCGGGCGCAGAUGCCCACUCCCAAGGCCAUUGACUGCCGAAAAUGUUUUGGAGCACCUCCAGAAUGCUAGAGACCUUAAGCUUCCCUCUCCAGCCUGGGGUGGGGAAGUGAGGAAGAAGGGAUUCUAGAGUUAAACUGCUUCCCUGUUGCCUUCAUGGAGUUGGGAACAGGCUGGGAAGGAUGCCCAGUCAAAGGCUCCAAGCGAGGACAACAGGAAGAGGGAUCCACUGUUACCAAAAGUCCUGAUUCCCCCAUCACCAACCUACCCAGUUUGUUCGUGCUGAUGUUGGGGGAGAUCUGGGGGGAGUUGGUACAGCUCUGUUCUUCCCUUGUCCUAUACCGGGAACUCCCCUCCAGGGUAGCCACAGAUCUGCAUUGCCCUGGUCAUUUUAGAAGUUUUUGUUUUAAAAAACAACUGGAAAGAUGCAGAGCUACUGAGCCUUUGCCCUGAAUGGGAGGUAGGGAUGUCAUUCUCCACCAAUAAUGGUCCCUCUUCCCUGACGUUGCUUAAGGAGCCCAAGGCUCUCCAUGCCUUUCUACCUGUUUGUAUUUUAUUUUAAGUUAUUUAUUCUGGAGCCACAGCCCCCUUGCUUAUGAGGUUCUUAUGGAGAGUGAGAAAGGGAAGGGAAAUAGGGCACCAUGGUCCGGUGGUUUGUAGUUCCUUCAAAGUCAGGCACUGGGAGCUAGAGGAGUCUCAAGCUCCCCUUAGGAAGAACUGGUGCCCCCUCCAGUCCUAAUUUUUCUUGCCCGCCCCGCCUUGGGGAAUGCCUCACCCACCCAGGUCCUGACCUGUGCAAUAAGGAUUGUUCCCUGCGAAGUUUUGUUGGAUGUAAAUAUAGUAAAAGCUGCUUCUGUCUUUUUC